CGUGCUUAACACAUGCAAGUCGAACGAUGAACCCGGAGACUGCUCCGGUGGAUUAGUGGCGGACGGGCGAGUAACACGUGGGAACGUACCUUUUGGUUCGGAACAACUCAGGGAAACUUGAGCUAAUACCGGAUGAGCCCUUCGGGGGAAAGAUUUAUCGCCAUUAGAGCGGCCCGCGUUAGAUUAGCUAGUUGGUGAGGUAAAGGCUCACCAAGGCUACGAUCUAUAGCUGGUCUGAGAGGAUGAUCAGCCACACUGGGACUGAGACACGGCCCAGACUCCUACGGGAGGCAGCAGUGGGGAAUCUUGCGCAAUGGGCGAAAGCCUGACGCAGCCAUGCCGCGUGAAUGAUGAAGGUCUUAGGAUUGUAAAAUUCCUUUACCAGGGACGAUAAUGACGGUACCUGGAGAAAAAGCCCCGGCUAACUUCGUGCCAGCCGCCGCAGUAA
rnacentral:rRNA from 1 species